rnacentral:lncRNA from 1 species
AUCUCUUUCUUAUUAUUUCUUUCCGGCCUUAAUUCUCCCGUUCCUGGCGGAGCCACCGCUUAAACCACCUUCCGUACACCGGCAUCCACCGUCCUUGCCGGAAUCCGGCGAUCUCUUUUUAGAUCUUUAUUUCACUUCCCCUCAAAUUCACUCCCCUCCCUUCUCCUAUAACACAAACGUUUUCAGUUUUUAAAGUAAUUUCUCUUC